rnacentral:rRNA from 1 species
UACGGAGGGGGCUAGCGUUGUUCGGAAUUACUGGGCGUAAAGCGCACGUAGGCGGCUUUGCACGUCAGAGGUGAAAGCCCGGGGCUCAACCCCGGAAUUGCCUUUGAGACUGCAUCGCUAGAAUUGUGGAGAGGUAAGUGGAAUUCCGAGUGUAGAGGUGAAAUUCGUAGAUAUUCGGAAGAACACCAGUGGCGAAGGCGACUUACUGGACACAUAUUGACGCUGAGGUGCGAAAGCUAGGGGAGCAAACAGG